AUAGUUCACAUACAAGGGAAAGUACAUGCCAGGGGAACCUAGGAGAGCCAUACGUUGCUUCUCCUGCCCACCUCUGUGGGAAAAUGAUUGCUUGUACAUGAGAGCAUGAGCAAAGUUCUUAUUGUUACAGGGUGAUUUCAUAGCUAGAAGCAUCCUUGGAGCAUGAACAGCGCGUGAACAGCUCGUGCUGUCCCAUAUGAUUGGCUAACGUAGUAUGGUCUGAUCGCUCGCAUGGUCUAGUACCAAGGUCUUUAUCUGCUGGCUAGAACAAAUUGCUUGACUUGUAUUUUUUGUAUCUUUCUAUUUCACACAUUUCACACAAUAAAAGCUGUGCUGCAUAAGCCCUAGGAGCAGCCAUAUUUCGGAACCUAUCAUGGUGUGAGACUGAUUUUCCUCUGAAUGCCGAGCUGCAACUCGACAAUUGGUGCCCCGUGUGAUUGCCUUCGGACUUCACGUUGUUUUUCAUUAUUCAGCACUCACCAACACGUCGUUCAUCCACGUAGUGGAUCCCUGGUGAGUGCUCCCGUGUGACUGCCUUCGGACUUCACGUUGUUUUUCAUUAUUCAGCACUAACCAACACGUCGUUCAUCCACGUAGUGGAUCCCUGGUGAGUGCUCCCGUGUGACUGCCUGUUUUUCAUUAUUCAGCACUCACCAACACGUCGUUCAUCCACGUAGUGGAUCCCUGGUGAGUGCUCCCGUGUGUACAACGUUCAGCUCUCACCUCGCCCCGCAAGGGCUGCAGACGCGUCGUUCAUCCACGUAGUGGAUCCCCGGUGAGAGCCUCGCCGGUGUGAAUGUGAUUCUGGACUACGUUACGGACUUAUCAGCACUUAUCUCCGCCCGGGACAGGGCAAAAGGCGCCUCUCUCUCAUCCUCCUACGGAUCCCUCCGGGCAGGCGAUAGUCGAGCGUUCUCAUUUGACCUUUAAGACCCUUCUCAACAAGCAAUUGGGAGGUCGAUCGCCUACUGUAUCUGAAAUACCUAAUGCUGUACAUCAAGUAUUGUUUACUCUAAAUCAUCUUUUGUAUCCCCACAAUAAGGAUUUUACGCCUGCUGAACUUCAUUUCCGGAAGGAAGAAGUAUUGCAACGCCCUUUAGUGUCUUACAGGUUGCUUCCAGAUCCACAGUGGAAGGGU
rnacentral:lncRNA from 1 species